rnacentral:misc_RNA from 1 species
CAUCACAGAAAUCAAAAACUAAUACAAUUUAUAAUAAUUAUUGCUGCCAUUUGAGAUAAUAAACCAAUGUCCACCAAGAACCAUAUCACAUUUUAACCACAUGAUGAUGAUCCCAAUUCCCAUUUCCCUCUCUGUUUCAUUCAGCAUUUACCAAUACAAGGAAGCCAACCAUAAACCAAAACAGGGUAACGAAAACAAGAGACUAUUUUUUUUUAUUUUUUUUUAAAGUCCAAAUAACAUGCAAGAAAC